rnacentral:rRNA from 1 species
CCUACGGGAGGCAGCAGUGAGGAAUAUUCGUCAAUGGACGAGAGUCUGAACCAGCCAAGUAGCGUGAAGGAUGACUGCCCUAUGGGUUGUAAACUUCUUUUAUAUGGGAAUAAGAGGUUCCGCGUGUGGGAUUUUGUAUGUACCAUAUGAAUAAGGAUAGGCUACCUCCGUGCCAGCAGCCGCGGUAAUACGGAGGAUCCGAGUGUUAUCCGGAUUUGUUGGGUUUAAAGGGAGCGUAGGUGGAUUGUUAAGUCAGUUGUGAAAGUUUGCGGCUCAAACGUAAAAUUGCAGUUGAAACUGGCAGGCUUGAGGACAGUAGAGGUGGGCGGAAUUCGUGGUGUAGCGGUGAAAUGCGUAGAUAUCACGAAGAACUCCGAUUGCGAAGGCAGCUCACUGGACUGCAACUGACACUGAGGCUCGAAAGUGUGGGUAUCAAACAGGAUUAGAUACCCGAGUAGUC